GUACACGCUGUGACUAGCAUAUCAAUAAGCGGAGGAAAAGAAACUAACAAGGAUUCCCCUAGUAACGGCGAGUGAAGCGGGAAGAGCUCAAAUUUGAAAUCUUAAAGGGUUUCCCUUUACGAAUUGUAGUUUAAAGAAGUGUUUUCUGUUGAGGUUUUGGUAAAAGUUCUUUGGAAUAGGACAUCAUAGAGGGUGAGAAUCCCGUAUUUGACCUUUACUUUCAACUUUGUGAUACACUUUCAAAGAGUCGGAUUGUUUGGGAAUGCAGUCCAAAAUGGGUGGUAAAUUUCAUCUAAAGCUAAAUAUUGGCGAAGAGACCGAUAGCGAACAAGUACCCGUGAGGGAAAGAUGAAAAGAACUUUGAAAAGGAGAGUUAAACAGUACGUGAAAUUGUCAAAAGGGAAGCGUUUGACACCAGUGUUGUUUUUCUGAAAAUCAAUUAAAGAACUGUUUAUGCUAAGCUGUUUAGACUUUAUCAGCUAAUCUGUUUAGUUUUGAGCUUUUCUUUAAUGCACUUUUCAGUUAACAAGUCAACAUCAAUUUCUUUUGCUGUAAAAAAGCUUGAGGAAGGUGGCUUGAGAUUCGUCUUAAGUGUUUAUAGCCUCUUGCCUAUGCAGUCGGAGAGAUUGAGGUCUGCAGCGUAGAUCCUUCGGGGCUAAAUGCAUUUGUGCUAAGUUAUAGCAUUUCAUAGACAACUUGUUGACUAUGAUUUGUCUUGUAGCUUACUCGCUUAUGUUAUUUUACCUACGCUUAGGAUGUUGAAGUCAUCGUAUCGCGC
rnacentral:rRNA from 1 species